rnacentral:lncRNA from 1 species
ACAGAACUUCUGUAUUAAAGUUAAUAGGAGAUAGGAGAGUUUGAAGAUGAAACAAAGAGACUGGGAUUGAAGUUUUAGAAUAGGCUUUAUAGAAAUCCUUUUCUUACUGAUUACAAUCAACAUUGCUCUCCAAGAAUUAUAGCUUAGCUGACUCCCUAAACCUAUCAAGUCCCUAGCAUGCCAGCUCUUGCUUAUAUGACUCGGACAAAAUUUAUAUCCCCC